UAGGGAAUAUUGCACAAUGGGCGAAAGCCUGAUGCAGCAACGCCGCGUGCACGAUGAAGGCCUUCGGGUCGUAAAGUGCUUUUCGGGGAGAUGAGAAAGGACAGUAUCCCCGGAAUAAGGAUCGGCUAACUACGUGCCAGCAGCCGCGGUAAAACGUAGGAUCCGAGCGUUAUCCGAAUUUACUGGGCGUAAAGCGCGUGUAGGCGGUUCGGUAAGUUGGAUGUGAAAUCUCCUGGCUCAACUGGGAGAGGUCGUUCAAUACUGUCGGACUAGAGGGUGGUAGAGGGAGGUGGAAUUCCCGGUGUAGUGGUGAAAUGCGUAGAUAUCGGGAGGAACACCAGUGGCGAAAGCGGCCUCCUAGACCGCUCCUGACGCUCAGACGCGAAAGCUAGGGGAGCGAACGGGAUUAGAAACCCCGGUAGUCCUAGCUAUAAACGAUGUGAACUUGGCGUUGGUGGGGUAAAAGCCAUCAGUGCCGAAGCUAACGCGAUAAGUUCACCGCCUGGGGACUACGGCCG
rnacentral:rRNA from 1 species